AGAACGAACGCUGGCGGCAUGCCUAAUACAUGCAAGUCGAACGAGAUCUUCGGGUCUAGUGGCGCACGGGUGCGUAACGCGUGGGAAUCUACCCUUGGGUUCGGAAUAACAGUUGGAAGCGACUGCUAAUACCGGAUGAUGACGAAAGUCCAAAGAUUUAUCGCCCAGGGAUGAGCCCGCGUAGGAUUAGCUAGUUGGUGAGGUAAAGGCUCACCAAGGCUACGAUCCUUAGCUGGUCUGAGAGGAUGAUCAGCCACACUGGGACUGAGACACGGCCCAGACUCCGUAGGGAGCAGCAGUAAGGGAUAUUGGACAAGUGGGACAAAGCCUGAUCCAGCAAUGCCGUCGUAGAGU
rnacentral:rRNA from 1 species